AGCCAUUGCUUGUAAUAGAUUGAGCCAUCUACUUGUGGAUGCACAUGUGAGAGGGAUAGGGGCUUAAUCAACUGGAGAUCUAAUCUAACUUGUCAUUAACUUGUCACGUUGACUUCAAGCGUGAAGAGAGAACAAAACUUUGGAGUAUUCAGCCCCAGGAUGAAGAAGCGUUGAUUGCCAGGGAGCCCUGUAGGAAACUUUUCAUGCUUAAAUGCUAAUUGUCACCACUUGCUGAAGCAGGAUGUUCAGACAGACAGAAUGGAGGAGGGACUCCAACUAACCAACCAAAGAACUGUUACCCAAGAGCAUUGUUCCCAAGGAAGAAAAGAGCCAAACACCCACACACACCUGCUUUGUGCCAAGAAUCUACACUCGGGUUGCAAGGCAGCAUAUGUUGUCCUUUUGGAAAAAUGAAAGUGAGACCAAGUGAAGAGCCAGUAGAGGUGUCUCAAGUCAUCCCAAGGCAAGUGAGUGGGCGGCCAAACCCUGAUGGUCUCACUCCUCCCCAAGCCACACUCUCCCUG
rnacentral:lncRNA from 1 species